rnacentral:rRNA from 1 species
CGGACGAAGACGACCAGCAGCGAAAGCAUCUGUCAGGGAUGUUUUCUGCGACAAAGGACGAAGGUCAGGGUAUCGAAGACGAUUAGAUACCGUCGUAGUCCUGACUGUAAACUAUGCCAACUUGGGUCUUGCUGGGCGAUGCUUUGUGAGACCCACACAGAAAUGAAAGUGUAUGGGUUCUGGGGGUAGUAUGGACACAAGUCUGAAACUUGAAGGAAUUGACGGAAGAGCACCAUAAGACGUGGAGCUUGCGGCUUAAUUUGACUCAACGCGGGAAAACUUACCAGGUCAAGACAUGGGCGUGAUUGACAGGCUAAUGACUUUUCUCGAUUCCAUGGAUGGUGGUGCAUGGUCGCACUUAGUUGGUGCAGUGAUUUGUCAGGUUUAUUCCGGUAACGAACGAGACCUCGGCCUUGUAAAUAGCUACGCUGCUUACAGGGACAUUGGCGGCUACGCCAAGGAAGCUCGAGGCAAUUGCAGAUCUGGAAUGCCCUUAGAUGUCCUGGGUCGCACGCGUGCUACAAUGACGCCACGAACGAGUUUGCGUGAUGAAAGUCACGCAUAAUCAGCAGUCGGCGUCUUAAGGGAUAGUCUCUUGUAACUGUGGGACUCCAACUAGGAAUGUCUCGUAAGCACAAGUCAACAUCUUGUGUUGAUUACGUCCCUGCUCUUUGUACACACCGCCCGUCGCUCCUACCGAUCGAGUGUUUAGGUGAAUUUGAUGGACGUAAGGAAGUCAAAUAAACCUGAGCAC